rnacentral:rRNA from 1 species
AUGGAGACAUAGUGGAGGUUAUCAGGGAGACAGGUGGUGCAUGGUUGUCGUCAGCUCGUGUCGUGAGAUGUUGGGUUAAGUCCCGCAACGAGCGCAACCCUUAUUGCUAGUUACCAUCAUUAAGUUGGGGACUCUAGCGAGACUGCCAGUGAUAAACUGGAGGAAGGUGGGGAUGACGUCAAAUCAUCAUGCCCCUUAUGACCUGGGCUACAAACGUGAUACAAUGGCUGAAACAAAGGGCAGCGAAGGAGCGAUCUGGAGCGAAACCCAAAAAGCAGUCUCAGUUCGGAUUGAAGUCUGCAACUCGACUUCAUGAAGUCGGAAUCGCUAGUAAUCGCGGAUCAGAACGCCGCGGUGAAUACGUUCUCGGGGUUU